rnacentral:lncRNA from 1 species
UUUGUAUUUUUAGUAGAGACAGGGUUUCACUAUGUUAGCCAGGCUGGUCUCAAACCCCUGACCUCAGGCGAUCCGCCCACCUCUGCCUCCCAGAGUGCUAGGAUUACAGGCGUGAGCAACGGUGCCUGGCCACUGAUUCUUAUUUUUAAAAGUGACUUAACACAGCUUGUAUUGUUCCUUCCAGGGAGAAGAUAAUUAUAAACAUUAAGGAAGGAGUGUUAAUUAUUGCUGAUAACUUACACAGCGUAAGAAUGAACUGUAAGGAUCUUGUUUGAACAAAGAAUUGUAUUUUGAUCAGUCUUUAUACUACAUCUUGAUACAGUUCUUUUUUCUAAGCAUCCACUGUAGAGGAAGAAAGUGGUUAAAAUACCUAUUAAUGAUUGCAACUUAUAACAUGGAUAGGAGACAGUCUUCCUUCAAGCUUACCAAAGAAUCUCCAUGCCAUUUUGAGUAGUUGAGACACAGCCUCUUAUCCAGACAGAACUAGUUUUUUGUGUGAUAGCUUACCUACCUAAACCUGUCCCAAGUUUGCUUAAUGAAAUUGAAACCACAUGAAAUAUCCAAAGCAAACCUAAUAAAGGUGUUCUGCCGCUGACUCGGGCUGGACCCUUGUGGGGCUGUAUGUAUGCGACUUGGUAGGUGUUUGCCUUAAGUAGUCUGUUCUGUGGGGCUGAAGCAUAGGCCUGGCCAUCUCAAAGCCUAACAUCUGUCAGGCCCAGUCUGUGACGUCACUGACAAGGGUGAGCAUUUUCUUUGGGGCACCUUCAAAGUACCUUCACUGUGCAUCUCUUUGGAGUGAAUAGCACUGAAAGCAUGAUGAACUGUUACUGCCAUUCAAAAUAACUUUCUAGCUAAAGGUCAGGACUUAAACUAAAGGUUCAAUAGUAAGACAUAGUUAUGGUAGCAAAUCUAUUAUUUAUUAAUCAGAUGCCAAACUAUGUAUUCAUGGAAACCUAAAAUUUGAUGUGUUAAUACACAUCUUUGCAUAAUCUUUAAAAAUUAUUAAGGCAAUAAUUGGAAUUAACUUCUUUUCUUUACGUUUGCAUGGGAAGGCCGUAUUUAAUAUUUAAAAGCAUACACCAUUUUUGAGCCCUUUUGCAGAGCCUUUUUAGAUAUAAAAAUUAAUGCACCAAUUAAAAUGUUUAUUCCUCUAAUCACGUUCUAUUACACUGUAAUAGAGUUAGCCUAGUCUGAGAUAUAUGUAUUUGGAAUUAAUAGAAUUGAAAUUUUCAAUACUCUGAAGCUCUUACCUUUGAAGAAUUCUAGCCAUCACAAUCCCAUUCAACAUAAAUGAGAGUGGUUUCAUACACAAAUACAAAAACUGGGA